CCCUACCAACUCCUCUUCUUUCUCCAUUCCGGUUGGCAUCUGAGGCACGGCCCGGUUGAUGGAGAGGCAGUCGUUGAUGUCCGGAAGGCCUUACAAGAAGUUUAAGUAAGCAGUACUGGAUACAUUUACACUGAAAAUCUGGAUUCUGAUGGAUCCAAAGUCAGUUUGUGGCACUGCGCUCCUGCAUAGCUGGGGUGCUGAACUCAAGGCCACAGCACUGCCUGCGCCACUGAUUACAUGCUCCUGUCCCCUAAAAAGGCAAUCCCAACACCGAUGGACACAGGAAACAGCAUCCCAGACCAGUAGCUGUCCUGCGCUCUUUGCGCUUUGGGGGAUGGUUUAUCUUCAAUGAAGUAAGAGGA